AGAGUUUGAUCCUGGCUCAGGAUGAACGCUAGCGACAGGCUUAACACAUGCAAGUCGAGGGGCAGCACAGGUAGCAAUACCGGGUGGCGACCGGCGCACGGGUGAGUAACGCGUAUGCAACUUACCUAUCAGAGGGGGAUAACCCGGCGAAAGUCGGACUAAUACCGCAUGAAGCAGGGGCCCCGCAUGGGGAUAUUUGCUAAAGAUUCAUCGCUGAUAGAUAGGCAUGCGUUCCAUUAGGCAGUUGGCGGGGUAACGGCCCACCAAACCGACGAUGGAUAGGGGUUCUGAGAGGAAGGUCCCCCACAUUGGUACUGAGACACGGACCAAACUCCUACGGGAGGCAGCAGUGAGGAAUAUUGGUCAAUGGGCGUAAGCCUGAACCAGCCAAGUCGCGUGAGGGAUGAAGGUUCUAUGGAUCGUAAACCUCUUUUAUAAGGGAAUAAAGUGUGGGACGUGUCCUAUUUUGUAUGUACCUUAUGAAUAAGGAUCGGCUAACUCCGUGCCAGCAGCCGCGGUAAUACGGAGGAUCCGAGCGUUAUCCGGAUUUAUUGGGUUUAAAGGGAGCGUAGAUGGGUUGUUAAGUCAGUUGUGAAAGUUUGCGGCUCAACCGUAAAAUUGCAAUUGAUACUGGCAGUCUUGAGUACAGUUGAGGUAGGCGGAAUUCGUGGUGUAGCGGUGAAAUGCUUAGAUAUCACGAAGAACUCCGAUUGCGAAGGCAGCUUACUAACCUGUAACUGACAUUGAUGCUCGAAAGUGUGGGUAUCAAACAGGAUUAGAUACCCUGGUAGUCCACACGGUAAACGAUGAAUACUCGCUGUAGGCGAUAUACAGUCUGCGGCCAAGCGAAAGCAUUAAGUAUUCCACCUGGGGAGUACGCCGGCAACGGUGAAACUCAAAGGAAUUGACGGGGGCCCGCACAAGCGGAGGAACAUGUGGUUUAAUUCGAUGAUACGCGAGGAACCUUACCCGGGCUUAAAUUGCAGACGAAUUACGAGGAAACUUGUAAGCCGCAAGGCGUCUGUGAAGGUGCUGCAUGGUUGUCGUCAGCUCGUGCCGUGAGGUGUCGGCUUAAGUGCCAUAACGAGCGCAACCCUCGCCGCCAGUUACUAACAGUUAAAGCUGAGGACUCUGGCGGGACUGCCAUCGUAAGAUGUGAGGAAGGUGGGGAUGACGUCAAAUCAGCACUCAAUCGUAUCAAUGACUUUACUAAUUAGUCGUUCAGUGAGAAACGUUUGUAAGCGACAACAGUUGCAUCUUUGUCUGCGCCUUUGAUAUAAGCACCGACGGUGAUCUUGUUGUUCUUAACCAAAGCCUGAUUCAACAAGGUAUUCUCAUUGAGGAAUUUGUUGACUUUUCCUUCG
rnacentral:rRNA from 1 species